rnacentral:rRNA from 1 species
AACGAACGCUGGCGGCAUGCCUAACACAUGCAAGUCGAACGAGACCUUCGGGUCUAGUGGCGCACAGGUGCGUAACGCGUGGGAACCUGCCCUUAGGUUCGGAAUAACUCCCCGAAAGGGGUGCUAAUACCGGAUAAUGUCUUCGGACCAAAGAUUUAUCGCCUUUGGAUGGGCCCGCGUUGGAUUAGCUAGUUGGUAGGGUAAAAGCCUACCAAGGCGACGAUCCAUAGCUGGUCUGAGAGGAUGAUCAGCCACACUGGGACUGAGACACGGCCCAGACUCCUACGGGAGGCAGCAGUGGGGAAUAUUGGACAAUGGGCGAAAGCCUGAUCCAGCAAUGCCGCGUGAGUGAUGAAGUCCUUAGGGUUGUAAAGCUCUUUUACCCGGGAUGAUAAUGACAGUACCGGGAGAAUAAGCUCCGGCUAACUCCGUG